UAUAGUGUAAACUGCACACAGGCCUUUGAAACCUGAAGAAGACAAACUCUUAUUAUAG
rnacentral:tRNA from 1 species